rnacentral:rRNA from 1 species
UACGAAGGGGGCUAGCGUUGCUCGGAAUCACUGGGCGUAAAGCGCACGUAGGCGGCUUUCUAAGUCAGGGGUGAAAUCCUGGAGCUCAACUCCAGAACUGCCUUUGAUACUGGAGAGCUGAGUCCGGGAGAGGUGAGUGGAACUCCGAGUGUAGAAGUGAAAUUCGUAGAUAUUCGGAAGAACACCAGUGGCGAAGGCGGCUCACUGGCCCGUACUGACGCUGAUGUGCGAAAGCGUGGGGAGCAACAGG